GAGUUUGAUCCUGGCUCAGAACGAACGCUGGCGGCGUGCUUAACACAUGCAAGUCGAACGUGAUUCAGAGCUUGCUCUGAUGAAAGUGGCGCACGGGUGAGUAACGCGUGGAUAACCUGCCCUGGUAUCCGGAAUAACAUCUCGAAAGGGGUGCUAAUACCGGAUAAGCCCACGGGAUCUUCGGAUUCUGCGGGAAAAGGUGGCCUCUAUUUAUAAGCUACCGUAUCAGGAUGGGUCCGCGUACCAUUAGCUAGUUGGUGGGGUAAUGGCCUACCUAGGCGACGAUGGUUAGCUGGUCUGAGAGGAUGAUCAGCCACACUGGAACUGAGACACGGUCCAGACUCCUACGGGAGGCAGCAGUGGGGAAUUUUGCGCAAUGGGGGAAACCCUGACGCAGCAACGCCGCGUGAGUGAUGAAGGCUUUCGGGUCGUAAAGCUCUGUCAGAGGGGAAGAAAUGAGAUUGGCUAAUAUCCAAUUUUCUUGACGGUACCCUCAAAGGAAGCACCGGCUAACUCCGUGCCAGCAGCCGCGGUAAUAC
rnacentral:rRNA from 1 species